rnacentral:rRNA from 1 species
UACGUAGGGCGCAAGCGUUGUCCGGAAUUAUUGGGCGUAAAGAGCUCGUAGGCGGCCUGUUGCGUCCGCUGUGAAAUCCCGGGGCUCAACCCCGGGCCUGCAGUGGAUACGGGCUGGCUGGAGGCAGGCAGGGGAGAACGGAAUUCCCGGUGUAGCGGUGAAAUGCGCAGAUAUCAGGAGGAACACCAAUGGCGAAGGCAGCACUCUGGGACGUGACUGACGCUGAGACGCGAAAGCGUGGGGAGCAAACAGG